rnacentral:ncRNA from 1 species
UAGUGUGUGGCAUCAAAGCAUUUAUAGUGAUGUUGCUUUUUGAUCUCUCUGGCAGCUGUUUCUAUUAUCAUACAGCAGAAUUUGCCAACUAUUGGAUUGUUCACCUGCUAAUAGAAAACAUAAGCUGGGUUUAGACCAUCCUGUUAAAGGUU